rnacentral:tRNA from 1 species
UGGGGCGUCGCCAAGUGGUAAGGCAGCGGCUUUUGGUGCCGCCAUUCGCAGGUUCAGAAUCCUGCCGCCCCAGCCA